CAGGGAGGUCCGGUUGGCAUCAUGGUAGCAUCUAGAACCUGGUGGCCUCUCUGAGAAUCUGUCUCCAUUUUUUUUUUAAAAAAUAUUUAUUUUAUUUAUUUAUUCUCUUUUGUUGCCCUUGUUUUAUUGUUGUAGUUAUUAUUGUUGUUGUCGUUGUUGGAUAGGACAACAAGGAUCGGCAUAAGGAUCCCGGUUCGAACCCCAGCUCCCCACCUGCAGGGGAGUCGCUUCACAGGCGGUGAAGCAGGUCUGCAGGUGUCUAUCAGUCUCCAUUUUUUAAGUCUGGCCGCUUCCAUCCCCAUCCAGCCUUCCCUGAGCCCUGUAAUGAGCACACCCUCAGGGAGAUAGUUAAAAUCAAAGACAAUGGAGACAAGGUUUUAAAACUCCCCAUACAGGGUUCAAGGAGACAGCAUAAUGGUUAUGCAAAAGACUCUUCUGCCUGAGGCUUUGAAGUUCCAGGAUGAAUACUGUUACCACCAUCAACCAGAGCUGAUCGACAUUCUGGUAAAAUUAAAAAAAAACAACAUUAAAAUAAAAAAAAAAACACCUCUCAGACAACAUCAUGCAAAUCAUGUGACCAAAACUAAAUCCAAUUCAUUUCAUAAGGGAAGCAAAACAUAACUUCUUGUAGAAUGAUUUUGAUUCAUCACAAGUGAAAUUAUUCAUCUUUAUAAAAUGAUGCAAGAACCUUCCAAAUGUUUCUUUUUAUUGUAGAUAUAUGAUUUUUUUUUUUUGCUAAAUUUUAAUGAGAGAGAUACAAAGAGAAAGAUACUGAGAGAGAUGACAACACUGCUCAGCUCUGGUUUAUGGUUGUGCAAGGGAUUGAACCUAGAACCUCAGAGCCUCAGGCAAAGACUGCAAAGACUUGGCCCGAGAGCUUUCAUUUUAACCAGCUCUGGUGUCUGCUGCCCAGCCCAGUGUGAGAGGUGAGGGCAGUGGAGGCUAAACAGCCUUCUGCUUUCUGGGGGGAGAUUCACGCUGCAUCUUGAAUCCUGGUGGACCAGCUGAACUCUGAACUUGAACUCCCAGGUCAGACCUGUGCUUCUGUGCACCAGAAACUCUAAAUAGCUUAUUCUUCCUUUCCUCCUUUAAUUUGCCAUCUCUAAAGCUUUGACACUCUGGGCUGACUUUUUCAGAGAGGCGGAGAGAAAUACUUCACGACAGGUAAGUUCCUUUCAUUGUCCUGGGGGCCCAGGCGCACAGGAAAGACACGAAGUCACCAUCCAGGUGAGUCACCUUGCCAGUCCUAAGAUUACAAUGAUCUCCCCUUUGUUGGUGGGAGGUGUCUCAAACACAUCGGGCCCCAAACCCCACUGCAGUUGUUUUCUCCUACUCCCUGACCCCACCCCCAGCCCUGUACUGCUGGUCAUCUCUCUCUUCCUGAAGCUGCAUGACCCCAGAUCACAACACUCCUGUCUAUUCACUUGCUCAAAAUCUUCACCCCUACACCAUCCAGUGCCCUCUGUUUCAGCAAAGUUUUCUUAUAGAAGGGCAUUGCCCCCCCCCCCCACAAAAUGCUCUUUAGUGCCCCCCCACCCCAGUUUCUUCCAGGGCCUGUAUGUCAGUGCAGACCAAGCCAAGAUUCAUAGAAACCCUCGCUCAGCCUGGGGUAGACCUGACUUCUGCACAGCUGCCCACCCUCCCAGUAGGCCCAUCCAGAAGCUGGAGGAAGCCAGGUGGUGGUGGGCAUCCAGCAGUGCCCGUGCGCAUGCUGUUAAGGAAGUCCCGCUUCACUGACCACUGGGGACACUGAGACAAAUAGGACUGACAGAAACACACACCAGGAAGAGAGGCUGAACAGACACUCCCAGGACAAAGGUCACACACAGCCACCCUGACCCCACACCAACCUCCAGGCAACCCCUACAACAGUGAGGCCCUCAAACUCCCACCACCUCCCACAAGCCAGAGAAAUUUUGUCCUGUCUGAUUAAGUAGCUGGAAUUCAAUCAAGACAGCUCACUCAUUUGUAAACUAGACAAUAGAGGAGAUCAGUGUCUAAUAAAAAAUAGCUGCCCCCAGACCUAUCAGUCCUAGCUCCCGCCUCCCCACUGGGCUGACCUCUUUUCACCCUUCUAGUUGAAUCUACCAGUAAUUGCAUUUAUAUUUCAAAUGAAGUUCUUCUGAACCAUUAUUUAUAAUUUUUUUAUUUCAGUUUUUUGUAUCAUCCAUUAACUCCUCUCAUGAACCAAUGAGAAUUUCACUCACCUGUCACCUCAUCCUCCAACAAAAGUCUCCUUAGCGAAUCCCUUAACUUGGUGAAAUACUGCAAAGCUUCCCCUCUGUUCCCAUCACAUAAAGGAGAUGUCAGCCCACUCCCCACGUGGACCACUGAGGCUCCCUGGCCAUGCCUUCUGUCUGUGCACAGGCCACCACGUUCUCGAUGAUACCAUGAUGUCCACCGGACUUCCCUGGGCAGACAACCUCACCAAUGUGUCCUGGAGCCCCGCCUCCUCAGAGCCCCAGCCCUCUAGAGAAAGAGAGAGACAGGUUGGGAGUAUGGAUCGACCUGUUCAGCAGGGAAGCAAUUACAGAAGCCAGUCCUUCCACUUUCUGCAUCCCAUAAUGACCCUGGGUCCAUAUUCCCAGAGGGAUAAAGAAUGGGAAAGCUUUCAAGGGAGGGGAUUGGAUAUGGAGCUCUGGUGGUGGGCAUUGUGUGGAAAUGUACACCUCUUAUCCUAUAGUCUUGUCAAUAUUUCCAUUUUAUAAAUAAAAUAAAUAAAAAAAGAAAAGAAAAAGACAUUGUGAUUUUUCCAAUAGUCUAGUCGAUC